rnacentral:tRNA from 1 species
AGGUAGGGUGGCCGAGUAGGUGGCAAGCUGUAGACUUGUUUACGGGGCAAGCCCCCCCCCAGCCC